rnacentral:rRNA from 1 species
UACGUAGGGUGCAAGCGUUAUCCGGAAUUAUUGGGCGUAAAGAGCUCGUAGGCGGUUUGUCGCGUCUGCUGUGAAAACUGGAGGCUCAACCUCCAGCCUGCAGUGGGUACGGGCAGACUAGAGUGCGGUAGGGGAGAUUGGAAUUCCUGGUGUAGCGGUGAAAUGCGCAGAGAUCGGGAGGAACACCCGUAGCGAAGGCGGCGCUCUGGGCCGGUACUGACGCUGAGGAGCGAAAGCGUGGGGAGCAAACAGG